GCGGCAGCACGGACUUCGGUCUGGUGGCGAGUGGCGAACGGGUGAGUAAUGUAUCGGAACGUGCCCAGUAGCGGGGGAUAACUACGCGAAAGCGUAGCUAAUACCGCAUACGCCCUACGGGGGAAAGCAGGGGAUCGUAAGACCUUGCACUAUUGGAGCGGCCGAUAUCGGAUUAGCUAGUUGGUGGGGUAACGGCUCACCAAGGCGACGAUCCGUAGCUGGUUUGAGAGGACGACCAGCCACACUGGGACUGAGACACGGCCCAGACUCCUACGGGAGGCAGCAGUGGGGAAUUUUGGACAAUGGGGGAAACCCUGAUCCAGCCAUCCCGCGUGUGCGAUGAAGGCCUUCGGGUUGUAAAGCACUUUUGGCAGGAAAGAAACGUCAUGGGUUAAUACCCCGUGAAACUGACGGUACCUGCAGAAUAAGCACCGGCUAACUACGUGCCAGCAGCCGCGGUAAUACGUAGGGUGCAAGCGUUAAUCGGAAUUACUGGGCGUAAAGCGUGCGCAGGCGGUUCGGAAAGAAAGAUGUGAAAUCCCAGAGCUUAACUUUGGAACUGCAUUUUUAACUACCGGGCUAGAGUGUGUCAGAGGGAGGUGGAAUUCCGCGUGUAGCAGUGAAAUGCGUAGAUAUGCGGAGGAACACCGAUGGCGAAGGCAGCCUCCUGGGAUAACACUGACGCUCAUG
rnacentral:rRNA from 1 species